GUGGGAGCUGAGCUUGCUCGCGAUGGCGGUGGGUCAGCUUGCAUUGAUGCUGGAUGCAAGACCGUCAUCGCGAGCAAGCUCGGCUCCCAC
rnacentral:misc_RNA from 1 species